AAGAGCACAGUACUAUGAAAGUUGUGAGCUGUGUUCGGGAGGAGUUAUUGUCUAUCGUUGGCCUCUAUGAUAGAAUUAGUCGGGGCCUGAGACGCAGUAUCAUCUUAAAAAAAAUAGAAUAAACCUAACUCAACUUUAU
rnacentral:ncRNA from 1 species